rnacentral:rRNA from 1 species
UCUCCUGGAAAACGGGUGGUAAUGCCGGAUGCUCCAUCAUACCGCAUGGUGUGUUGGGAAAGCCUUUGCGGCAUGGGAUGGGGUCGCGUCCUAUCAGCUUGAUGGCGGGGUAACGGCCCACCAUGGCUUCGACGGGUAGCCGGCCUGAGAGGGCGACCGGCCACAUUGGGACUGAGAUACGGCCCAGACUCCUACGGGAGGCAGCAGUGGGGAAUAUUGCACAAUGGGCGCAAGCCUGAUGCAGCGACGCCGCGUGAGGGAUGGAGGCCUUCGGGUUGUAAACCUCUUUUGUUAGGGAGCAAGGCAUUUUGUGUUGAGUGUACCUUUCGAAUAAGCACCGGCUAACUACGUGCCAGCAGCCGCGGUAAUACGUAGGGUGCAAGCGUUAUCCGGAAUUAUUGGGCGUAAAGGGCUCGUAGGCGGUUCGUCGCGUCCGGUGUGAAAGUCCAUCGCUUAACGGUGGAUCCGCGCCGGGUACGGGCGGGCUUGAGUGCGGUAGGGGAGACUGGAAUUCCCGGUGUAACGGUGGAAUGUGUAGAUAUC